UUGAGGAGGCGGUGGCCGUGUAGGUGGCAGUGGUGGUGGAGGAGGAGGUAGCCAACACUGUUUAUAAAAAAAAAAAUAUAUAUUUUAUUUUUAUUUUAAUUGGGGUAGCCCCCAAAAUAUUGGGACAUACAAAUAAGAAAACUGUUCUUUUUCAAUGUGCUCCCCAAUGAGAAGGCGACAACGCAUUCAUAUGUCAAUCCAUAUCAACUUUCGAUGCCAUUGACUGUGCCUACCAUGGUGACCACGGGUAACGCGGAUUCAGGGUUCGAUUCCGUAAAAGGACCUUGACAAACAGCUACCACAUGCAAGGAUGGCAGCAGGCGCGCAAAUGACCUACUCCUGACGCGGGAAGGUAGUGACGACAAAUAACAAUACAGGACUCUUUAGAGGCCCUGUAAUUGUAAUGAGUCAAUUUGAAAUCCUUUAACUCUGAUCAAUUGGAGGGAAGUCUGGUGCAGAGCCACUGACCCAUGCGUGCUGCAGCUGAAACUCCACUAUCGCCUGUUGCUGCUCAGUCUCUCCAG